GACGAACGCUGGCGGCGUGCUUAACACAUGCAAGUCGAACGGAAAGGCCCCUUUGGGGGUACUCGAGUGGCGCACGGGUGUGUAACACGUGAGUAAACUGCCCUUGUCUUCGGGAUAAACUCACGAAACUGGGGCUAAUACCGGCUUGGAAUCCUUGCUGCAUGGUGGGGGUUGGUCAGCUUCGGCGGUUUUGGAUGGACUCGCGGCUUAUCAGCUUGUUGGUGGGGUAGUGGCUUACCAAGGCUUUGACGGGUAGCUGGCCUGAGAGGGCGACCGGCCACAUUGGGACUGAGAGACGGCCCAGACUCCGACGGGAGGCAGCAGGGGGGAAUAUUGCACAAUGGGCGGAAGCCGGAUGCAGCAACGCCGCGUGCGGGAUAACAGCCUUAGUGUUGUAAACCGCUAUCAGCAGGGGCGAAGCUUGUGGUGACGGUACCUGCAGAAGAAGCACCGGCUAACUACGUG
rnacentral:rRNA from 1 species